UACGUAGGAGACGAGCGUUGUCCGGAAUUACUGGGCGUAAAGGGCGCGUAGGCGGCCUGCUAAGUCGGACGUGAAAUCCCUCGGCUCAACCCGGGAAUUGCGCUUGAGACUGGGCUGGCUUGAGUGCGGGAGAGGAUGGUGGAAUUCCCAGUGUAGAGGUGAAAUUCGUAGAUAGUUGGGAAGAACACCGGUGGCGAAGGCGGCCAUCUGGACCGCAACUGACGGCUGAGG
rnacentral:rRNA from 1 species